rnacentral:lncRNA from 12 species
CGGGUGUCAGAUAUUGGAAUAUUCAGGUCUUGAAGUACUCCUGCAAAGUUUUUCUACUAUUUACAAUGUAAACAGAAGAGAAAGAACUUCUAUCUACUUUCAAGCCUUAAGAGAGCCUGUGCACCUGUUACAAGUUUUUUUCUUUUCCUGCUAUAUUUUUUUCUGGAUUCCUUUUUCAUGCUCGUGGAUGCAGUGAAGAUGCCACUGUGUUAAUCAUGGUGUUAAGGUGGAAGAUUGCAUCCUGCCUGUAUCAUCACAACUGAUUGGAUUUGCAAGACUGCC